GGAAAUUUAUGACGUAGGACUCGGGGGCCACUGGUCGCCUGUGUGGUGCCAUCCAGUGCCACUUCUCCUGACACUAGACAAAGACCCUCCAGAAACGGUGAAGUGCUAUAGACCCUUUCAACAUCCCGUUUCCAUCCGUGGACUCUCAAAAAGACAUCAAGGAUGGUUCUGCCGGUGUUGGGGGCUCUGGCUGGGCUGGUGAAGGUGCGGUACUCCCGCACCCUCGUCGACAGCCAGGUCUUCCGCCUCCACUACCACUGGACGACCGCCUUCCUCUUCAUCAGCUGCGCUCUAGUCGUCGCUUCCGAUUACAUAGGAGACGCCAUCCAGUGUUUGGUCGGGCAGGAAGACGCGCCCAAGCCCAUCACCACUUACUGCUGGAUCUCCUCCACCUUCACCAUUAAUUCCACCGGCCCACUUAUGGGAUUAGGAACUUACAAGCCUAAAUUUCACCAGAGGCGGUUUCACGCCUACUACCAGUGGGUUCCAGUAGUCCUUUUCCUCCAGGGGUGCCUCUUCUACCUGCCUCACCUCAUAUGGAAGAACUGGGAGGGCAAGCAGGUGGACCUCCUGCUUCAGGAUCUUAACAAGAGCCUCUUUGACGAAGAUGCCGCCAAGAAGAAAGUUAAUAUUAUCAAAUACCUGAAGGACUCAUGGGGCCUCAAUAUGAGGUACUCCGUCUUGUACUUCGUGUGUGAGGUGCUCAACCUGGUGAAUGUGGUGGGACAGAUGUUCCUCAUGAACCGGUUCCUUGGGGGAUUCUUCAUGAAGUACGGGAUUAAGGUGAUCUCGUUCUUGACCUCCGACGACACCAAAAGGAACGACGCUCUCAUGGAGACAUUCCCAAGGAUGACCAAGUGCAUCUUCCACCUCUUCGGGGCCUCUGGGGAAAUUGAGAAGAAGGAUGUUCUCUGCGUCCUCCCCCAGAACAUUAUCAACGAGAAGAUCUACCUGGUGAUGUGGUUCUGGUUCAUCAUUUUGACAAUCAUCACUAUCCUCCAGGUGGUGUGGCAGCUAGUCAUAUUUAACAGCCCAACAGUGCGGGUUCGCCUGCUGCAACGCUUGGCCCAGAAGAAUUUCUGCCCGCGGAUGGAGAAUGCCAUCCGCAACAUGCACUUGGGUGACUUCUGCCUCGUCCUUAGCAUCGGAAAAAACCUAGACAUCUUCAGUUUCAGGGACGUGAUGCAGGGCGUAGUCGAGGCCUCGGAGGAGGCUUACACCCCUAGCGCCCCGCCACUACUAAACUAUCGCACCAAUAACUUCUCCAAUAAUCCAGAUAUGAUCACCCGCAAACGUCAUAUUGGGCUAGCAGCGGACUCCAAUCAGUAGGAACCAGUGCUGGAAAUUUCAUGUAGCCUCGCAUACCAGUAUUCUUAACCUCGCAGAAUUCAGAGGAAAUAUUUCGGAAGGUUUAAGAUUCUUCACUUUCAGGGAUCCCAGAUGGAAGGGAUGGUACUCAUCUAACGGUGAUUACCUAACAGUGACGACGAGGAAUGAGACCUAGCUGUUAAGACCCGCCUACUAACUAGCCUAGUCGUACCUGGAGCAUUUCACUUUUUUUAAGAUAUGGAUGGAAAUGGCUUCUACUCCUCCUUUCGGUACAAUCCACUUGUUGAACACCUGUACAAGACUCCUCGCUGUUGCGGAGGAUUUUAGGGUUGGAGGAUGUUUCCAGCUCGUUAUCGAAGUGGAUGAGGAACUCGCUGAAGAUGCUGGACUCCAUGUUAUGAGCCAGACUGAGGAGGAGGAACCACUGGCUGAGGGAGACCUCCUUCAUCACGCGACUAACUUGUACUCUCGCUGCCUCGUUCGUGUGCAUCUACCACCACCGCAAGGCUCUUCCAGGAGAAAGUAUAUGAGAAGCACCAGCCACCCAACGUUCAGGAGAAAGUGUAUGAGGAACAAGUCACCUUACCUCCGUGAGGAAACACUUGAGAAACAAGAGUCGCCUUACCCUCAAGAUAAAAUAUCUGAGCCAUGGAAUGAAGAUGGUGAGGAGGCGGAAGACCAGCCAGAGAGAGGUGACGGUGGUCAGCAGCACCAGCCACACCCACAGGAAGAUGUAGAUCUACCAGGGACAUGGGAAUGAGUCAUGCAUUCACACUUGAAGACAGCUGCUUGACGUCACGUGCUCUUAUCAGAGACACCUGAUGGUCUCAACUUCAGACAUGAAAUCGACGCAAGAUGAAUACGUUGGACAGUUGCCAGCAUAAAUAACUCGGUUGGUAACUGAUAAAACUGCAAAUAUUCUUAAGCUUCCAGGAUUUUUUUUAAGUUUUAGGGACGACGAUAUAUGAUUGGAUAAAAACUAUGUAGGUUAUAUGUGUAGAAAAAGUCAAUGAACAUCGAAAGGCGAAGAAUGGCGGAAUGUUCUUCCUGUCUAAAUCACAUUUGAAGGGGCGUUGGUUACGGUUAGAAGAUAGCAAUGUAGAAUUAAUAUAAACACAAACUAAGUGAAAUUAAUAAAUCCUGAUAUGAAAAGCUUUAAUGAAAGUUUUUUUUUGUAGAAGAUUAAGUAAGGAUACAUUUUAAAAGGCACAACAUGUAUAUGUAGUGUGCAGACGAGGAGUCACAAUAACGUGGCUGAAAUAUGUUGACCAAACCACACACUAGAAAGUGAAGGGACGACGACGUUUCGGUCCGUCCUGGACCAUUCACAAUCGAUUUGAGAAUAGUCCAGGACGGAUCGAAACGUCGUCAUCCCUUCACUUUCUAGUGUGUGGUUUGGUCAACAUGUAUGUACUGUACUCUGAGCAUUUCAAAUAUAGAUCCAGUGACAGAAAUACGGUUCACAUAGGGAUAAACUAUCAGAGCAUAAGGCUUAAGAAUACGUUACUAGGUCCUAGAUACCUAUCAAGACGUAUUAUGAACAAGAAAUGUGAAGGAGUGGUGACUGACCUUCUCGUUGAUGAUGUUAGUAGCGAUGAGACACAUGACGUCUCGCACCUGGAUGGUUCCUGAAGCUCCGAAGCUCCUGAAGGUGCAUUUAGCCAUCUUGGGGAAGACGAAGGACAUCGGGUCCGUCCGGUUCUCUGGGUCCAUCCCAGAUACAGCAAACACCUGUCCACGAAAAGAAGGCGAAAAUUUGGUUUGGAUUUCCAUGGACAGGGGACAAGAAGCCUUGUAGGCUUAUGUUAGUCCCUAGAUAAGCCUAAAGACUGUUCUUACCUAGGAUGUAACCCACAACAGUCGCCUAACUCCAAGUACCUAUUUAUUUAUUUAUUUAUUUAUUUAUUUAUAUACAAGAAGGUACAUUGGGAUUAUGAGGAUAAAUAGGAUAGUAUUUACAAUCUUCUAAAGCCACUAGUACGCACAGCGUUUCGGGCAGAACCUAUUUACUGAAGGGUGGAUUGUUCCCUUAAUAGAGAGAAUCUCAUUGUUUUCUUUAAAUAUAUGAAUCAAACAGUUAAUUGUAUAAUUCACUUGAUAUUUAUAUAUAUAUCGAGCUGAAGAUCAUGGAAAACUACGAGUUGGUUUUACAUCUGUUGUCAGGGAAAGCACAUGAUGCUUUCAUUUGACCACCAACACAUGACUGCUUAACGAUUCCUUCUGCGACACCUGACACAAGUUGAAGCUAAAUUUUUUAUAGAAAACAUCUAAUGAGACAAUUUUUUUUUGCCUGGAGAAUCUGUAGAAGUCCCGAGUCUACAGUAAGAGUGAGACAAACAGUUCGAUGUCACAACCUAUUAUCCCAGACAUUAGUAAUGGAUCACAGCAAUAUACGUAAGACGUUAAAUAAACUAACUACAAGGGAAAAACUUACGUUGGAGCCGUAUGUGAGAAACUCGCCGCCCAGGAACCAGUCAGUGAAGAAGAGAGUGGCUAUCACCACGCCCAGGUUGAGGAAUUCACAGAAGAAGAACUUGUGCGCCCAUGUUGUGUGUCUGUCCAUGUGGUGAAUCACGUACUUCGACAAGGUGCGAAACCUUCAGAAUAAUAACGAAAAAUCUCCAAGUGUUCCAUGGAUAAAUGCUGAAAUAGUCUCGGAUAGCGAGGUUCUGAAUUGCCUGUUUGAAGAGGCCGCCCUCCCAAGCCUUCCACAGCCAGUGGGGCAGGUAGAACAUCACGCCCUGG